UACGGAGGAUGCAAGCGUUAUCCGGAAUGAUUGGGCGUAAAGCGUCCGCAGGUGGCAAUGUAAGUCUGCUGUUAAAGAGUCUAGCUCAACUAGAUAAAAAGCAGUGGAAACUACAUAGCUAGAGUACGUUCGGGGGCAGAGGGAAUUCCUGGUGUAGCGGUGAAAUGCGUAGAGAUCAGGAAGAACACCAGUGGCGAAGGCGCUCUGCUAGGCCGUAACUGACACUGAGGGACGAAAGCUAGGGGGAGCGAAUGGG
rnacentral:rRNA from 1 species